ensembl:lncRNA novel transcript, antisense to CD36
AAACUAGGAAAGCAGUUGAACAGCUAUGCGAGAAGCCUACUUUCUCUUCAUGUAACACGUUGGCCUAAGAGAUCUAUAGAGCUUUUUAAAAACAAAGAAGGCAGCAAGAUUUAAAAUAAUAAAACCAGCAAUAGGUAUUUUUAAAAGUGAGAGAAACUAUCAGAGAGCUGUAGCAGAAAAGCAAGUUAAAAAUAAAGGAAACAGAAAAGGAACUGAUACAGCUGAUUUGAUACUGGAAAAAUCACCCAGGAGGCAGCGUGGACAAUGGAUUGGAGAAGGGCGAACAUUCAGUCAGAGACUUUGUGAGCUUACUGUAAAUUAGAGGGAGCAAAUUGGAGGAGAAAUGACAAAAGAAACAGAAAAAAUGUUUAAUCAGACAAAGGAACUAAAAAACCUCAGUCUUAAUUAGAAGAUGGUCAAACAAAUCUCUUAACUGAUGUUCACAAUGAUGGUUUCAAGUCAUCUAAGGAAUGGGAGAAAAUACAACUGGUGAAUUGCAAAGAUAUUAAGAAAUUUUUUUCAUGACCUCCAAAGAAUAAAAUUAUAAAACUUAUUCUUACCUUUUUGUUUCCUGUAAACGUGUGGUAUAUUCCCCUUGUCCCUCACGACAAACUUCUCUAUGAUUUCCUCAAUGGUUAAGGCCCCAAAUGAUACAUUAAAAAAUAUACAUUUGUUUUAUAUUUUCAAAGUAUUCUUAAUCUUUAAUUAGGAACUACACUGAAACUCUGUUGUCAAUGCCCCUACGAAGACUGAAAGAGAUGUGAUGGUUUUAAGACUGGUGCCUAUGGUCAAAAGAAUAUACUGACUGCUUCCAAAUGUCUAUAAAUAAAUUAUGGUUUCUUAAAGGCCCAUGAAAUGAAACUU